UAAAACGUUAGAAAAUCUGUUGCGCUUGGGUUGUUAUCAAGUGGGCUUCAAUCCGGUAAAAUGUUUACAGCACUGUCAAUACAUUGUGCGCUGAUCAUCCUUCCUUUGAUGAUGGAGUUGCAAGGAACAGAAAGUCUAUGUACCCAUUUCAAAAACUCUUCCUACAUAUUUACAAAAUGGGGAAGACGUUAUUGGGAGAAC